UUUAACUGAAGAGUUUGAUCAUGGCUCAGAUUGAACGCUGGCGGCAGGCUUAACACAUGCAAGUCGAGCGGGGGAAGGUAGCUUGCUACCGGACCUAGCGGCGGACGGGUGAGUAAUGCUUAGGAAUCUGCCUAUUAGUGGGGGACAACAUCUCGAAAGGGAUGCUAAUACCGCAUACGUCCUACGGGAGAAAGCAGGGGAUCUUCGGACCUUGCGCUAAUAGAUGAGCCUAAGUCGGAUUAGCUAGUUGGUGGGGUAAAGGCCUACCAAGGCGACGAUCUGUAGCGGGUCUGAGAGGAUGAUCCGCCACACUGGGACUGAGACACGGCCCAGACUCCUACGGGAGGCAGCAGUGGG
rnacentral:rRNA from 2 species